rnacentral:rRNA from 1 species
CGCUAUCACUCCUACGGGAGGCAGCAGUAGGGAAUCUUCCACAAUGGGCGCAAGCCUGAUGGAGCAACACCGCGUGAGUGAAGAAGGGUUUCGGCUCGUAAAGCUCUGUUGUUAAAGAAGAACACGUAUGAGAGUAACUGUUCAUACGUUGACGGUAUUUAACCAGAAAGUCACGGCUAACUACGUGCCAGCAGCCGCGGUAAUACGUAGGUGGCAAGCGUUAUCCGGAUUUAUUGGGCGUAAAGAGAGUGCAGGCGGUUUUCUAAGUCUGAUGUGAAAGCCUUCGGCUUAACCGGAGAAGUGCAUCGGAAACUGGAUAACUUGAGUGCAGAAGAGGGUAGUGGAACUCCAUGUGUAGCGGUGGAAUGCGUAGAUAUAUGGAAGAACACCAGUGGCGAAGGCGGCUACCUGGUCUGCAACUGACGCUGAGACUCGAAAGCAUAGGUAGCGAACAGGAUUAGAUACCCUGGUAG